AACGAACGCUGGCGGCAUGCCUAACACAUGCAAGUCGAACGAGACCUUCGGGUCUAGUGGCGCACGGGUGCGUAACGCGUGGGAAUCUACCCUUGGGUUCGGAAUAACUCAGAGAUAUUUGAGCUAAUACCGGAUGAUGUCGCAAGACCAAAGAUUUAUCGCCCAAGGAUGAGCCCGCAUAGGAUUAGCUUGUUGGUGAGGUAAAAGCUCACCAAGGCGACGAUCCUUAGCUGGUCUGAGAGGAUGAUCAGCCACACUGGGACUGAGACACGGCCCAGACUCCUACGGGAGGCAGCAGUGGGGAAUAUUGGACAAUGGGCGAAAGCCUGAUCCAGCAAUGCCGCGUGAGUGAUGAAGGCCUUAGGGUUGUAAAGCUCUUUACCCGGGACUGAUAAUGACAGUACCGGGAGAAUAAGACCCCGGCUAACUCCGUGCCAGCAGCCG
rnacentral:rRNA from 1 species